rnacentral:rRNA from 1 species
AGAAUCAACGCUGGCGGCGUGCCUAACACAUGCAAGUCGAACGAGAAAGUGGGAGCAAUCCCACGAGUAAAGUGGCGCACGGGUGAGUAACACGUGACUAACCUACCCUUGAGUGGGGGAUAACCUAGGGAAAACCUGGGCUAAUACCGCAUAAUACCUACGGGUCAAAGGAGCAAUUCGCUUAAGGAGGGGGUCGCGGCAGAUUAGUUAGUUGGCGGGGUAAUGGCCACCAAGACAGUGAUCUGUA